rnacentral:lncRNA from 1 species
UUCAUUCUGAUUUCUUACUGCCUUGCUAUCAACUUCCUUAGUCCUCUACAUUAUUUCUAAAGUAUUUGCUAUGCUUGAAUCAUGUAUUUUACUUCACACCAUGAUUUUGGUCUAUAAGACGAGCCUUUGAUCAUGACAAAUGCAUUUUUUUUCUUAUUUCCUUCUCAUGCACAUUACUUUUAAGAAUUUAAUUUGGCUUCUGGUUGUUUAUAGAAACUUGUGGCUUGGAAGAGCUAGCAGUAUUUUUUUUUUACUUGAGAAUCAAAUGACAGGAAAACCUUGUGCCUGAGAAUUGUACAAAAUUAAACCUUGUUGCUAAAUGGAUUUGGCGUUGUUCACUACUCAAUUUUUGGUGUAAAUGGUUUGAGAAAAAUGCUAGAAUUUAAAUGGGUGUUUCCAUUUAAUUUGAGAUCAAGUCGAUCACUUGGCUUCUUUGUAGUGUUCUGCCAAGUUUUUAGUGUGUGCGUUGAGGAAGGGGGGCUGUUAUUGGAAGAUUUACAAGAUAUUGACAUUAUGUCAAAUGUACAUGUUCUUAGUAAUUAUUUUUCCAGAUUUUGUACUUUGUUUAUAUUUUGAGGAUUUCUUAUCCUCUUAUAGUUAUAUAUAUCAAUAAAUUCCAUGUAGGUAAGCUGGUAAUUGGGACUUGAGUUUGUAGCUAAUGAUAAUAGGUGUUAAUUGCUUACUGUUAAUGGUUAGUACAGUUUGUUUUUAUAAGAUGACAUAGAAAGGUCAGGUAUUUUCCUUUAGUUAUGUACUUCAUGCCAUCGUGUAUGAAAAAUAAGUAAACAGCAGAAUAGGUGGCAUACAAUUACAAAUCUAGUGACAAUACAACAUACCCAGGCUUCCAGACUUUUAUGUUUAAAAUAAAUGUCUCGGUUUACACUGCUGACUUUUAUUGAUAUAAGUAAUGGUUCCUGAAUGGAUGGAAUGAUAAUAAGUUCUAUUGUUUAAGAAGAUGGAAUGCAUUCCAUCGAAUACCCUUUUUCUUCCCCUUUCAAUUUGGGGGGAGGGGUGGCGAUUAUUAGACGAAACUGGCCCUUUUCUUUUUCAUUCCAUGAUAAAAAUGUCUACACAAAGAAGAGGUAACUUAAUUCUAUUUCAUUACAUUCAUUCUCUUGCAUUUCAUACCAUUCCACUCUCCAUAAGGUAUCUAAAUGCAGCCUUAAGUAGGUAUGGUACCAUGAGCAGGCGUAGGCAAAUGAUUUAGCAAAUCAGAUAAUUGAUCCUUGAGUGAGGCACAGGUUGAGUUUUUGUUUUACUUAACAAACCCAGCUUGAGUUCACUGGCUUAAUUACAUGAAUAACAACGCAAAUCAAUCACUACCAUUCUUCUACCUAAGACGAACCCUAAUUACCUGAAUUAUCCCAGACUACCUUUUUGUUAGGUCCUGUNUGAUUGUUCAGGUUCAUUCUUCUACCUAAGACGAACCCUAAUUACCUGAAUUAUCCCAGACUACCUUUUUGUUAGGUCCUGUCUGAUUGUUCAGGUUCAUUCUUCUACCUAAAACGAACCCUGAUUACCUGAUUAACCCAGACUACCUAUUUGUUAGGUCCUGUCUGUUUUUUCAGGUUCAUGGGUCGAAUGGAACCCAUAAUUACCCUUAGAAGUUGUUAAAACAGGAACCUUCCUGAAAAACUGAAAAAAAGAAGAAAAGUAGAUUGAAUUUUGAAUGAUCUACACAAGUCACUACAAACAAGGCUUUCUGGCUGUGGGAGACAUGAGAAACUUAUCUUGCUUGACCUUCUUUGGAUAACUUUUGCUAUUGAUGUGAACUGGUUCAGUAAUUCACUGACUAGCAAUGGACCCAAGGGUUUUGGAGAGUAAUUCUGUUUAAAUUUCAAGACUGUGUUUUCUAAUUUCUUUUUGGAGUGUGAUUAUGUGAAGAGACCAAGAGACUAUAUCAAGCAGACAGGGUUAGCUCUUUUGAGCUCAAAUUCCUUCCAUUUUCUGAGAGUUAUGGCAGUAACUAUGGCAUAUCUCUUUGUACAAGUUGCUGAUUUGGUCUUCUGAUUAGUAUUAUGAUUGCGAUUGAAUCAUUAUGGUUGGUUUAUUUCUCCCCA